rnacentral:rRNA from 1 species
GACGAACGCUGGCGGCGUGCUUAACACAUGCAAGUCGAGCGGAGCGGCGAACGGGUGAGUAACGCGUGAGUAACUGCCCCCCUCUCUGGGAUAACAGUUGGAAACGGCAGCUAAUACCGGAUAGUGGGGGAUGACUCGCGUCCUAUCAGCUUGUUGGUGGGGUAGUGGCCGACCAAGGCGACGACGGGUAGCCGGCCUGGGAGGGCGACCGGGCACAUGGGGCUGAGAUACGGCCCAAACGCCUACUGGAGGCAGCAGUGGGGAAGAUGGCACAAUGGGGGAAACCCUGAUGCAGCAACGCCGCGUGCGGGAGGAUGGCCUUCGGGUUGUAAACCGCUUUCAGCCAUGACGCGGUAGUGGCAGAAGAAGCACCGGCUAACUACGUGCCAGCAGCCGCGGUAAUUC